CAGGCCAAGCAGUUUCUUUAUUGAUUAGCCAAUAAAAGCAACAUAUAUACAAAAGGACCUCCUACAUUAAAAAUUUAGAUAAGGAACAGACCUAGCGACUAUGAUUCAACUUGUAAGAAGAACCCACUGAUUUCUGUUAAGCCUCAAAAUGAGUCCUCAGAGAUAAGGAUUUUCUAGAGUUCACUGAAGAGUUAGAGACUGUCUAGUGAGUGCCGGGACUUCCUCCUCAUAAGAUUCAGCUAACGAUAUGGACAUCCUAAAAUAUGAAGAAGAGUUAGAUGGUGAGGCAAUUCUAGGAGCUUAUGAGAUAUGUACAGCUGAGUACAACCUUGAGGAAACAUCAGUGCUUCCAUAUCCACUUAGCCUGUUGGAAGUUUGUUAUGAGAUUUGCCUUACACUCUCAAAGAUUAGAAAUCAACUGACCCCAUCAUUGCUGCCCAUAUAUGGACUAUAAAGACAACCUGAAAAAGAAGAGGAAACCUAGCUGUUGACAGCCAUCCAGACACAUUGAAGAAGGCUCUUUUUGCUGCCGGAACUCUCCAAGACUCAACACAAGAUGAGGAAGCUCUAAAGAAGAGUUGGAAGUUGAAGUGCAGUAAUGGAACCUUCCUUCACUGAAUAAGGAUUGUUUCAAACUUUCUUCCUACUACGUAUAAUAUAAGACAUUACCCUCUGAACAAAGGAGUCUCGGGCUUAUCUUAUCUGACCAACGGCUUCUUAGACUGAAAAUAACCGUCCAACCACUUGGGAAACAGGCAAUGAUUACUGCCCAGCCUUUCAGAAGCCCACAAAAGGUAAGGAUAUUCUCAAUACUGAAAAAGAUUUGGAAGCUGACCAGGCAGGACCAGCCCUUCCUCUGCUCCACAAGGUAUUUACUUUAUGCUCAAUGGGAAAUUGCCUUUCCUAUUUCAUUGCACAUUGCCAUAGACUUCACACCUCUGAAAAAUAGGUGUAGACCUUCAGCUGUGCACAAAAUAUCUCAGAAAUUCCAGUUGUAACAAGAGUGCAUUCAUAGUUCUCAUUAUUCCCAUGAAUUCUGCCACAUUACAUUUUUUUAUUAAGGGCAUAAUAGUCCUUCUAUUUCUGUCCAAAGCACCAAGGGCCUACCCCAUCUUACAUACUGAGAGUUAGACAUUCACAUCAAUAGAGAGUGCCUCAGGCCUGCCUUGUGUGAUCAAGGAAAUUUCAUAGUUGAUUUCAUACUUAUAACUUCUAAUUUGGGUGGCCUGGACAGUACUGUUCUGACUAAAGAGAUCUCAGAUCUCUCUGGACCGAGGUCCCUGAACACAAGAACAGAAAGAUGAGGGUAACUCAGGCUACUGUCUUCACUCUAGUCCCUUAGACAGAGAAUUCCUGUCCUACAAGAGGAGAAAUUUGUGGAUGGGCCUAUACUAGAUGAAGAAACUGAGUCACAGACUACUGUCGUGCGGCUUUUAGAAGACUUCUAAGACUGCUGACAUGCCUGACAUGGACAUUCAGAAAAUGUGUAUUCUAGACUGUGAUUUUCAGAUCUGAGCAGCUGAACAUAUGCUUGAGAAGGAGAACAAGCUUGGGACUCUCAUGCAGACUUUUGGAAAAUACUGACUUCUGCCUCACCUACCACACAUUCACUACAGUGGACAGAUGUUGGAGUAUCUGAUGAAGAGCUGGAGGCUUAGGCAGUUCCUGGAAUGGGCUCCACUGUAUGAGUUUGAGGCCUCAGAGUGCAAGAGUAGCAAGGAGAGUCUGGAAAACAGCCAUCAGUCUUGAGGGCAUUCAUCAGAACAUCAGAAGUGGACUGCUCCCAACCUUAGUGCCCUGAACAGGAUGACUGAACACCAACCCGUGAGGCUGAAAAAGCGACAGACACCAGCCAUGCUCCUGCAACAAUGUUCAGAUUACUGCAUAUCCUUCUGAAGAUGCCACAGAUGAUAUUGUUACUUUGUUGUAGUUGUUAUUAUUUUGAUUGUUGUUCUCUUCUUGGUGUUAUUGUUUUCUUUUAAGCUUAAAAGAGGACACCUUGAUAUUUUCUUGGUAUGUUAAUUAUCUACUGGCAUUAAAA